UAUUAAUAACCAAAAAUUGUUUAAAAAUAUUUGUUAAAAAGUUUUCUAAAGUAAAUUAUCAAAAAAAGUUGAACUGAUUAUAUAAACUGAGGAUUUUGCCAUUCAAAAAUAAAGUGUUAAAUUGAGAUUGGGCUUGUACAAGAUUAUAUAGUUACAAGAGCCAAUCAUAAGAGUGAGGGGAGGGAGGUUUGCUAAAUGCUAUAAUGAGACUUUGUGAAUUAUCUUACUUAACCGGAUUGAAAUAGUGGAAAGAAUAUAGGAGAAUUAGAAUUAUCAGGAUCUUUUUCGACAACGAGACAUUCAUAUUACAAUAUCCUGUUAUCAAUGAAAUCCUUAUCAAUCCCAGUGAUCAAAAUGUCAUCCACAUGUACAUGCACGCCCUCAACUGGAUCUAAUAACUGGCACUGUUUCGCCUGGAAGAACUCUGGUACACUCGAAAUUCCAAGCGGGAGACGAUUGAAUUCAUACCUCCCUAUGGGGGUGAUAAAUGUAGUGAGGAGACUGCUCUCUUCCUCUAAACCAAUAUGAUAAAACCUCAUAACUGCAUCCAACUUUGAAAAAUAACCUCCUUUUAUUCGAGCUAUUAUGCUGUAUCACGAACCUAUUGGAUACCUAGGAAUCCGAAUAUAUUUAUUCAGUUUUUGAUAAUCCACACAUAAACGUAUUCCCACAGCCUUCUUUACAACUA
rnacentral:lncRNA from 1 species